AGGGGUGUGGAUGUGUGAACUUGGCUGUCUCAUAAUACCUCCUUGGAAUUCAAAGAGUGGUAUUAACCAGCUCCAGAGGGAAUAAUACCCAUUCAUUUUUCGCCCGAGGGCCUCCACCAUAAUUCUGAUUUCUGAAGUUAGCCAAGAGUAAAAGGAAUACCCCCACCCUUCCUGCUUCCAGCAUCCUAGGGUGGCCAGUUGCUUUCAUAGAACGUAAAUUGCAGGUAGUUUAAGUGAGACAAGAGUCGAUGGCCUGAGCUGUCUGACAACCCAUGCCUGCCUGGAGCUUCCCACCACAGUGGCUGACACACUAACCACUGGCUUAAAUGGGUGUUGAUGAUGUGGGAUUUCAUGUUAUUUGUGACUUGUACAACUUAAUGACUGGGAGGCAUUAGAAACUUGGUAAGUUAAUACAAGUAGAUACAUAAUAGUUGUAUCCUCCUGCAGUAUUGUUAACCAGAUCUCUGUCUCAGAAUGUCGGGAAUGUAUAAUUGGGAUCCUGAAAACCGAUAUUCCUCUUUUAUGUAAGGCAAUCUUUUGAAAUCUAAUACUUCUUUUGAAAAGUCUAGUAUGUUUAAAUUAAUGCAGUUUGAGUGGUUUGAAGAUUGAAAAUAGGUUAGCAUUAAGGCCAUGAUUCCUUUAGUAAUUACUUUUUCUUUUGGUAAUAACUGUUUCUUUUUUUUAAUAACUGUUUCUUUAGAAAUGACAUUAACAUUCUACCAAAACACAGCAGUAAUCCAA
rnacentral:lncRNA from 1 species